GACGAACGCUGGCGGCGUGCUUAACACAUGCAAGUCGAACGGAAAGGCUCCAGCUUGCUGGAGUACUCGAGUGGCGAACGGGUGAGUAACACGUGGGUAAUAUGCCCUGCACUCUGGGAUAAGCCUGGGAAACUGGGUCUAAUACUGGAUAUGACCUUUCUCCUUAUGGGGUUUGGUGGAAAGUUUUUCGGUGUAGGAUGAGCCCGCGGCCUAUCAGCUUGUUGGUGGGGUGAUGGCCUACCAAGGCGACGACGGGUAGCCGGCCUGAGAGGGUGAUCGGCCACAUUGGGACUGAGAUACGGCCCAGACUCCUACGGGAGGCAGCAGUGGGGAAUAUUGCACAAUGGGCGGAAGCCUGAUGCAGCGACGCCGCGUGAGGGAUGACGGCCUUCGGGUUGUAAACCUCUUUCAGCAGGGACGAAGCGUAAGUGACGGUACCUGCAGAAGAAGCACCGGCUAACUAUGUG
rnacentral:rRNA from 1 species